AUUGAACGCUGGCGGCAGGCCUAACACAUGCAAGUCGAGCGGAGCGGCGGACGGGUGAGUAAUGCCUAGGCAUCUGCCUGGUAGUGGGGGAUAACGUCCGGAAACGGGCGCUCAUACCGCAUACUAUCAGAUGAUCAUAGUUCGGAUUAGCUAGUGUGUGUGGUAAAGGCCUAACAAGGCGACGAUCCGUAACUGGUCUGAGCGGAUGAUCAGGCACACUGGACUUGAUGCGCGGUCCGGACACCUACGGGACGGAGUGGGGGGGAAUAGUGGACAAUGGGCGAAAGCCUGGUCCAGCCAUGCCUCGUAUGUGAAGAAGGUCUUCGGAUUGUAAAGCACUUUAAGUUAGGAGGCGUUACCAACAGAAUAAGCACCGGCUAACUUCGUGCCAGCAGCCGCGGUAAUUC
rnacentral:rRNA from 1 species